ACACAUGCAAGUCGAGGGGCAGCGCGGGAUAGCAAUAUCCUGGCGGCGACCGGCGGAAGGGUGCGUAACGCGUGAGCGACAUGCCCGUUGCCCGGGGACAACCGGUGGAAACGCCGACUAAUCCCCGAUGGGAUACGAUGCUUCAUGGCAUUGUAUUGAAAGUUACGGCGGCGACGGAUUGGCUCGCGUCCGAUUAGCUUGUUGGCGGGGUAACGGCCCACCAAGGCUACGAUCGGUAGGGGUUCUGAGAGGAAGGCCCCCCACAAUGGGACUGAGACACGGCCCAUACUCCUACGGGAGGCAGCAGUGAGGAAUAUUGGUCAAUGGGCGGAAGCCUGAACCAACCAUGCCGCGUGCGGGAAGGAGGCCCUAUGGGCUGUGAACCGCUUUUGCCUGGGGGCAAUAAGGGCGUCGCGCACGUCCGAUGAGAGUACCAGGCGAAUAAGCAUCGGCUAACUCCGUGCCAGCAGCCGCGGUAAUACGGGGGAUGCGAGCGUUAUCCGGAUUCAUUGGGUUUAAAGGGUGCGUAGGCUGUGCGUCAAGUCGGGGGUGAAAUUCCGGUGCUCAACACCGGGGCUGCCCUUGAUACUGUCGCGCUGGAGUGCGGAUGCCGCCGGAGGAAUGAGUGGUGUAGCGGUGAAAUGCUUAGAUAUCACUCAGAACACCGAUUGCGAAGGCAUCUGGCGAAUCCGUAACUGACGCUGAG
rnacentral:rRNA from 1 species